rnacentral:rRNA from 1 species
AUUGAACGCUGGCGGCAUGCUUUACACAUGCAAGUCGAACGGUAACAGGGUGCUUGCACCGCUGACGAGUGGCGAACGGGUGAGUAAUACAUCGGAAUGUACCCAGUAGUGGGGGAUAACCAGUCGAAAGACUGGCUAAUACCGCAUACGACCCAAGGGUGAAAGCGGGGGACCGUAAGGCCUCGCGCUAUUGGAGCGGCCGAUGUCUGAUUAGCUAGUUGGCGGGGUAAGAGCCCACCAAGGCGACGAUCAGUAGCUGGUCUGAGAGGACGACCAGCCACACUGGGACUGAGACACGGCCCAGACUCCUACGGGAGGCAGCAGUGGGGAAUUUUGGACAAUGGGCGCAAGCCUGAUCCAGCCAUGCCGCGUGCGGGAAGAAGGCCUUCGGGUUGUAAACCGCUUUUGGCAGGAACGAAACGGCGCAGGCCAAUACCUUGCGCUAAUGACGGUACCUGCAGAAUAAGCACCGGCUAACUACGUGCCAGCCGCCGCAGUAAGAC